rnacentral:rRNA from 1 species
GACAGAGGGUGCUAGCGUUGUUCGGAAUUACUGGGCGUAAAGGGCGCGUAGGCGGUUCGUUUAGUCGGGUGUGAAAUCCCAAGGCUCAACCUUGGAACUGCAUUCGAUACUGGCGGGCUAGAGACCGGAAGAGGUGGGUGGAAUACCCAGUGUAGAGGUGAAAUUCGUAGAUAUUGGGUGGAACACCGGUGGCGAAGGCGGCUCACUGGUCCGGUUCUGACGCUGAGGCGCGAAAGCGUGGGGAGCAAACAGG